rnacentral:rRNA from 1 species
UACGAAGGGGGCUAGCGUUGCUCGGAAUCACUGGGCGUAAAGCGCACGUAGGCGGCUUUUAAGUCAGGGUGAAAUCCUGGAGCUCAACUCCAGAACUGCCUUUGAUACUGAGAGCUUGAGUCCGGAGAGGUGAGUGGAACUGUGAGUGUAGAGGUGAAAUUCGUAGAUAUUCGCAAGAACACCAGUGGCGAAGGCGGCUCACUGGCCCGGUACUGACGCUGAGGUGCGAAAGCGUGGGAGCAAC